UAGUACACAUCGGGCAUUUCAUCUUAAACGUAAAAGAAAUCAGUGGAUAAACAGAAAAACUGCAGCACAUCUUUUAGCCCUCAUAAGACAGUUUGUGAUAAGUUACAGUAUUUAAUCCAAGCUAAGGGGUGCAAUGGAGCAAAGGCGAAUGUUGCUCCUUAUCCAUUGUCAUCAACUGCUUCCUCUAGACAGGAAAAGAUAAUAGACCAUGCACAGUGGGACAAUUACAGAGAUCUUUUUUCUUUAUAGGUACGGAAUAGUAUGUGUGGCCACUACUGCGACUGCUUAACUAGCAAAAGAAGAAAACUGAAGACCAGAUUUCCAGCACACGAGUCACCAGCAGAGGGGCGCGAUGGUGAUGAAGCAAGAGUUGAUCCGCUGAGAAAUGACGGUGGUGGGGCGGUGAGACAGGUUCUGUUCGUUAUGGAUUGAGGUAAAAAGUAGACAGCGAUAAUGGCAAGGACAAUGUGAUUUACAAAGCCGAGCAGUAAAAGGGAGCCACUCUAUUCAAUGAGAGAAACAAAGAAACGCUUUGUUCGUCGAUUGUUGACUGCUGACUCUGGUGUAAGGAAAGUCUGGCGGGAACAAAGGGAUCGCCACUGGACCGACGCCUCCCUUCCAUUUCUCGUCCCCUGUGCCCCGACGAAGCCGCUAAGUGCUCUGCUUGGUGUCUUCUUUGGUGGCCGCGCGACCUGGCACGCUGCGUAUAGUCUGAUCAGCCUUUGUGUCUUGAAGAGGACGCCAGAGCUUCUUUAUCUCUUGGAUGCUUUUAUGACAUGCUAUUUCGAUUAAUUACUACACAUUGGAAAUACACACACACACACACACACACACACACACACACACACACACACACUAGGAAAAAUGAUAAUAGUUCCGGUAAAUAGCUUUAUACUGAAUACUGAAUACUAAUUAGGAACUUAUGUACGCUUCGUAUUACCAUAAAAAUUAUUUUAUACAUAUACACCUCAUUAUUUUUCCAAGCAGAAUGUGAAACGGUAGCAGACUAUUUUCAUAACCUAUAUGAAGGAGGAGGCAGACGCAAGGAUGACCUCCAUAAACAAAGAACAAAAUCGGGUUUAACCAAGGACUAAAGAAUCGGUGCCAGAGUACAAAACAAUUCCUGAGAUAAGGCGCCCCGAUACUUUGCUUCUUGAGUCACAUUCCGCUCUUUGUACAAUCCUUUUUUAUAUUCCCCCCAGGCGGCCCACACGUCUAGUCCCUCAGCCUCUAUCUGCCGCCACAACAGCUCUAUGGCCCCCCAUCGCGACAGUCGCCCUUUCCAGCCAUGACAGCACGAGUGACCAUUCCAGCUGUGGCAGUAGGGCAGCGGAAGCCACACCCGCCCACAGCCUUGCGUCACACCAACACAAGCGUAGGGGAGGUAGGAGCGGCGCAGCGUAGCAAGAACGUGCCACAACUCGUCGCUAAGGCAAAGACUUCAGCGGGACUCAAGCAAGAACCCAACAAGGCGAGGCUAAUGAGCGGACCAAGACGAUACUGUGAUUACGUUCUUGGAAGCGCAGCUGAGGAAAGGCGUGGGUUAUGUGGCGUGGGAUGAGAUGAAGGGAUGUUACGGGAUGGGGUAAUGUUCGUGGGGGGAUUGGGGUAAUGUUAGGGGAAGGAUCAGGAUAGAAGAUGGGUAAAGAUUUUUUUGAAAGUAGCGAACUGUGUGUCUGCUGUUAGAGUGGAAAAGGAGAGAUGCGCUGGAUAAGAGAGUUAAGUAAGAUGGAGGCAAUAAAUGAAAGGAUAAACACUAAGGAUAGGGAAAUGUGAAGGAAAGGAAAACACGUUAAAGUAUAUAAGAGAUAUGAAGGUGUGAAAGAUGAGAAGUCUGUUUAUUGAGGUAGAGAAGAGGCUAAGGCUAGUGAAAUAUGAGGAAGAGCCAGUGUUGAUUAAGCAGAGAAGGGACGGUUAGACAGGUAAGUGAUUAAUUAAAGUGAAUCCGAAUUAAGUGAUUAAAACUGUGACUCAGAGACGUCAUCGCUUUCAUUUACGCAUCUCCUCUUCCUCAUUAGUACCGCGCCACAAUGAUGACUCAACAGCUUCGGGUUGAAUUGAUGUGAAAUUUAGUGAAACUGUAGUGGAAAAAAAAAUAAAUAAAUAUCACGUACUAUGUGAAAAUAA